rnacentral:rRNA from 1 species
UACGUAGGGGGCAAGCGUUGUCCGGAAUCAUUGGGCGUAAAGCGCGCGUAGGCGGCCCUGUAAGUCCGUUGUGAAAGUCAAAGGCUCAACCUUUGAAAGCCGAUGGAUACUGCAGGGCUAGAGUCCGGAAGAGGCGAGUGGAAUUCCUGGUGUAGCGGUGGAAUGCGCAGAUAUCAGGAGGAACACCAAUAGCGAAGGCAGCUCGCUGGGACGGUACUGACGCUAAGGCACGAAAGCGUGGGGAGCAAACAGG